CGACUUUCCUACUUAUUGAAGACGUCAAGCCUCACUGAUCGAAGAAGCCCAAGACGGCGUGUUACAUCACAAUACAUGGUGCUCGGGGACUAGCUGUGGGGGAAUAGACCCCUAUACCCUUACGGCUAGACUUGGGCCAGGAGGCUUGGCCCAUUACGAGACGAGUUCAAGGCUUGAUCCGACAACCUGGAGUUUCGCGCAAGGAAACAAGAUGUGGAGAUCAUGCAGGAUUCUAGUCGGUUAGAAUAGGAAUUGAUAUCGAAUUAUCCAUGGCAAUUGUAACCGACUAGGAUUAGUUUCCAGAUCUGUAACCCUGCCCUCCAGACUAUAUAAGGAGAGGCAAGGGACCCCCCUAGGAUAUCAUAUUCUCUCAACACAAAUCAAUACAACCAGACACAGGACGUAGGUAUUACGCCAACUCGGCGGCCGAACCUGGAUAAAAAGCUUGUCCGUGUCUUGCGUCACCAUCGAGUUCGUAGUUUGCGCACCGUCUACCGAUAAACUACUACCGUGGGUAUACCCCAAGGUAGACUGCCGACCAGCUUUCAUCGACAGUAGUUACCCUUUCCUUUCAAUUAUUCAAUUAUAAUUUGCUUAGUUAAUCAGGUUCAUGCUAUCUUGAAAAGAAAAUAAAAAUGUUAAAAAAUAGUAAGCCCCAUGUAUGCUCAUGGCAUAAAACCCAUAAGUACAUUCACUGUGGUGGCAUAAAAAUAAAAUAAAUAAGUUUUCAUCUUACAAU
rnacentral:lncRNA from 1 species